rnacentral:lncRNA from 7 species
UGUUGACUUUUGACAUCAAACUCUUCAGUCCAGCUGCACUCUAUUGAGUGUGAACGAUCUUACUCAAUAGUACCCAAACUGGUCAAGGUUCCUGUAAAGAGAAGACCAAACUUCAGGCAAGAAUAGAGUUUGGAGAUGGACUUGCUUACCCGUCUAAAGGAUGUGGAAUUGGAGAAUAAGUGAGCUAAUCUUGGAAGAAUUUUGCAGAAAAACAGGACAUUUCUCCAUGGAUCCAGAGGAAGUGGUAACUGAGGGUUUGAGCUCUAUAGGGAUCUGGCUUCUUCAUGGGUAUUCCUAGUGGAUGGCCUCAAGUCUACAAUAGAGACUGCUUGGCUGUCUGCAGUGGAAAAGACCUUCAAGUUGACUGUGAGUGGGUGCGACUCAUCAAGAAAAAUAACCUCACCACCACAACAACACAUGAUGGGAGAGACCGAAACUUCUUUGGGAGAACAUAAGGGGAAAAAAAAAAGAAAAAGUGAAGUCUAAAUAUUAUUAAACACAUGAAAGCAGAGUCAUUUACUUAUUAGGAAGGCGCUCAUUCACACACAGGUAGACUUGUGGUCCCUUAGAAGUACGUAAACACAACCCGUCAGUCCACCACAGUCAACAUCAGAAUUUCUUGGGAAAUGCCUCAUGAAAGAGUUUUUAAAGAAUAAUAUGACUGUGGAUCUGUCAAAUAAUUUCCCAAAAGCCAUGAAAGAUGAGUUGCUCUGCUCUGUUAUGCAUUUCCUUCCCUUGCACGGGCACUCACAGCUUGCCAAAUUUAGUCUGAGAUCUGAACAGAGAGAAAACAUGAACUCUUUCAACUGAAGUUCGGCUUCCUGUUUCUACAUGGCCUCUCAUACUCUGGGCCAUUCUGCAGAUCUACCCAGGUGUGUUUCCUGGACACUUGAUAAAAAUCAUUCUCACAUCAAAGUUGACCAAAAAUGAUUGAUGAUAAGUAGUUAAGGGUUUAUAAAUGCCAGACUAUGGGAGAUGAUUGUAAAAUAAAUAGAUAUAAAUAAAUAAAUAAACAAAUAAAUG